rnacentral:rRNA from 1 species
UAGGGAAUCUUCGGCAAUGGACGAAAGUCUGACCGAGCAACGCCGCGUGAGUGAAGAAGGUUUUCGGAUCGUAAAACUCUGUUGGUAGAGAAGAACGUUGGUGAGAGUGGAAAGCUCAUCAAGUGACGGUAACUACCCAGAAAGGGACGGCUAACUACUUGCCUG